UGAGGUAUCUUCUAAUGGUAGGAAACAAGACUUUGACUCUUGGAAUAGUGGUUCGAGUCCAUUUACCUCAGCCA
rnacentral:tRNA from 1 species